rnacentral:lncRNA from 1 species
ACAGACAUGCACCACUCAGAGAACAGGAAGGGAACAACCUUCACAUAUUUUCAGUGGGAAAAAAAAAAUGUAUGUAUGUUUCCUUGUGUAUGUCUUUACAGGACAGCCAAGUAGCAGCCAGAAUCAUUGUAGCUUUUGAGUCCUUGAGAAGUGCAAACAAAUAUCUAUGUGUAAAUCACCAAGAUAAUGCCUGGAUCCAAAGUAAAAAUAGAAGUCACAAACUCUAAUCUUUGGACAGUAGUUAUAUCCUAUUUUCUAAUUAUCCUCUCCUAUCACAUGUAGUGUCUAAUAUAAAAGAGCGACAGGGUCUGAUAAAAGGGAAGCAUAGUUUUCAACCAGCUGCUCUAAAGAGGUGGGUAAGACCUCUGAGGGUAUUCUCAGAACAGUGAAAAAUACAUAGAUAAUGUGUGGCACCCCUCUUCCAGGGACCACUGUAAAAACAGAGACUACCAACCACAGAGGAAGAGGGAUGGUUUGCUGAAGGCCACACAAGAAUCACACCACUCAUUCAAGGAUAAAGCAGUGGGACUGCACUGCCUUCCACAUUACAUUACCAGCGUUCACCAAAACAUACAAAUGUUCUAAGUGUUAAAGAUACAAAUUUAUGAGAACUACAACUACAUUAACACAGUAAAAGAUCCCUAGACUCAUAAAUACUAAAUACCAAUCAUCAUUGCUAUGCACAUGUGCAAAAUGAGAAGAUGCUUAAAUAAGUACCUCCUGUUAGUUAUCUCUAACACUUCCAAAUGAAUAACCAUUUAUUUACUGCAGGAUGGAAAAUAUGAAUGUCACUAAAAACAAUCCCAUAUUCAUGCUUCAUAAAUUUUACUCACUCAUUAUAACUUAUUAAACUUUCAUAGAAUAUUAUCACUAUGGCAUUAUGAAAGCUAGGUUAGAUUUGAAUCAUGAGUCAAAAUAUAUACUCCUUACAGCUACCUGUGAUACUCACAGUAAGUGGUCCAUUAACAUCGAGAUUCUGCUUUUGCCAUAUGAAGAUACAGAAGUUGGUGGUGACUCCCAAGUAACGCAACAGAAGAAAUCAGAGGAGAAAUACGAGCAGUACUUAUUUGCAGCAAUGCUACCAGUGACAGGAAAGACACUUGGCCUUCCAGACAAGUCAGAAGAAAUCAGUGAAGGAUCAAUCUACGCCAAGGUAAGGAUCAGAAGAGAUUUUCCUGAUACCACAAGCUGCUUUGUGAAAGUGAUUAGCCAUUACAUUAUCAAGCACAUGUGA